rnacentral:rRNA from 1 species
GAAAGAUGAAAAGAACUUUGAAAAGAGAGUUAAACAGUACGUGAAAUUGUUGAAAGGGAAACGAUUGAAGCCAGUCGUACCUUCGGGUAAUCAGCCUUUCGGGUGCGAUUCUGUGGGGUUUGAGGAGCUUUAACACCUUCAUGCUUUGCAUAUUCGUGCUCUUGGGUGUACUUGCCCGUGUGGUUGGUUAACAUCAAUUUCGGGCACCAUAAAAUGGCUGGAGGAAUGUAGCUUCGAUCUUGUAUUGAAGUGUUAUA